rnacentral:rRNA from 1 species
GAUGAACGCUGGCGGCGUGCCUAAUACGUGCAAGUCGAGCGAAUGGAUUAAGAGCUUGCUCUUAUGAAGUUAGCGGCGGACGGGUGAGCAACACGUGGGUAACCUGCCCAUAAGACUGGGAUAACUCCGGGAAACCGGGGCUAAUACCGGAUAACAUUUUGAACCGCAUGGUUCGAAAUAGAAAGGCGGCUUCGGCUGUCACUUAUGGAUGGACCCGCGUCGCAUUAGCCAGUUGGUGAGGUAACGGCUCACCAAGGCAACGAUGCGUAGCCGACCUGGGAGGGUGAUCGGCCACACUGGGACUAAGACACGGCCCAGACUCCUACGGGAGGCAGCAGUAGGGAAUCUUCCGCAAUGGACGAAAGUCUGACGGAGCAACGCCGCGUGAGUGAUGAAGGCUUUCGGGUCGUAAAACUCUGUUGUUAGGGAAGAACAAGUGCUAGUUGAAUAAGCUGGCACCUUGACGGUACCUAACCAGAAAGCCACGGCUAACUACGUGCCAGCAGCCGCCGUAA